rnacentral:rRNA from 1 species
AUUGAACGCUGGCGGCAUGCUUUACACAUGCAAGUCGAACGGUAACAGGCCGCAAGGUGCUGACGAGUGGCGAACGGGUGAGUAAUGCAUCGGAACGUGCCCAGUCGUGGGGGAUAACGCAGCGAAAGCUGUGCUAAUACCGCAUACGAUCUAUGGAUGAGAGCGGGGGACCGUAAGGCCUCGCGCGAUUGGAGCGGCCGAUGUCAGAUUAGGUAGUUGGUGGGGUAAAGGCCCACCAAGCCAACGAUCUGUAGCUGGUCUGAGAGGACGACCAGCCAGACUGGGACUGAGACACGGCCCAGACUCCUACGGGAGGCAGCAGUGGGGAAUUUUGGACAAUGGGCGCAAGCCUGAUCCAGCAAUGCCGCGUGCAGGAAGAAGGCCUUCGGGUUGUAAACUGCUUUUGUACGGAACGAAACGGUCUGGGUUAAUACCCUGGGCUAAUGACGGUACCGUAAGAAUAAGCACCGGCUAACUACGUGCCAGCAGCCGCCGCCGUAA